UACGGCGACCAUACCACGUUGAAAGCACCGGUUCUCAUCCGAUCACCGAAGUUAAGUGUACGUCGGUGGUAUAGCGGUUAGGACGCUCGCCGACC
rnacentral:rRNA from 1 species